rnacentral:rRNA from 1 species
GAAAAAGAAGGCGGGAAUGUGAGACCGAAUGCCAUGAUGAGAGAGUUUCGUAAUUGUUUAGGAGAGUGUGGUCUUGAGGGUAUGGGAUGUAUUGGGGAUCCUUUCACGUGGAGGAGAGGUGAUACUAGGGAGAGACUUGACCGUGCGGUUUGCAAUGUGGAAUGGGCAAAUAAAUUCCCUCGGGCUGCGAUUAUAAAUGAGGAACAUGUCCAUUCUGAUCAUUUCCCCUUGUAUUAG